ensembl:snRNA U6 U6 spliceosomal RNA
GUACUUGCUUUUGCAGCACAUAUACUAAAAUUAGAAUGAUAUAGAGAAGAUUAGCAUGGCUCCCGUGCAACGAUGACAUGGAAAUUCAUGAUGUGUUCCCUAUUUUU